GCCUAGAUUAACACGAAAGUUCAGCUUCCCAAGCUGAGAGUGCGAGUUCGAUUCUCGUCGCCGGCU
rnacentral:tRNA from 1 species